rnacentral:siRNA from 1 species
UGUAAAUGCUUAGAUGCCUC